rnacentral:misc_RNA from 1 species
GAAAUGCGAUAAGUAAUGUGAAUUGCAGAAUUCAGUGAAUCAUCGAAUCGUUGAACGCACCUUGCGCUCCUUGGUAUUCCGAGGAGCAUGCCUGUUUGAGUGUCAUGAAAACCCUCAACCCUAGAUUGGUUAAAACCUUUCUUUGGUUUGCAUUUGGACGUUUGCCGAUGAUAAGUCGGCUCGUCUUAAAAGUAAUAGCUGGAUCUGUCUCGCGACAUGGUUUGACUUGGCGUAAUAAGUACUUCCCUCAGGACAUCCUCGGAUGCCCGCGUUGCAGGACACAAGACCGCUUUCUAAUCCAUUGACCUUCGGAUUAAUACUCUUGACAUCUGGCCUCCCAUCAGGUAGGACUACCCGCUGAACUUAA